UACAGAGGUCCCGAGCGUUGUUCGGAUUCAUUGGGCGUAAAGGGUGCGUAGGCGGCGGGGAAAGUCUGAUGUGAAAUCCCGGGGCUCAACCCUGGAAUUGCAUUGAAUACUACCUUGCUAGAGUACCGGAGAGGAAACUGGAAUUUACGGUGUAGCAGUGAAAUGCGUAGAGAUCGUAAGGAAGACCAGUGGCGAAGGCGAGUUUCUGGACGGUAACUGACGCUGAGGCACGAAGGCCAGGGGAGCAAACGGG
rnacentral:rRNA from 1 species